rnacentral:misc_RNA from 1 species
GGAUGCAUUGCAAAUGAAUGACACCUCUGUUUAUACUACUAAGGGGCUAAGUGCAAUUUAAAAUUACUUUACAAGUCCCUAAAAUAUUUACACUUUGUUCCCUCUCUAGAAAAAUCUAGAUAAUCUAGGAUAUUCUAAAGCUUUCUUGAAAUAUCUAAAGGUGUUAUAAAAUUAUCCGCAAGCCCCUCCUUAACUCUAGAAUCUCUCACGCCUAUCCGGAUGUAAAAUUUGACUGGGACAUCAGACUAUCCAAUGCCACUAACAAGAGUUGCUGAAAAUUCUAAUGACGGAAUCAAAACUUGACCUCCACCAAAAGAACUUUUGAUACAUCAACUUCGUACCAACCUAUGGAGGUAAGGGCC